CGCCCAUAGCUCCUUCGACGGCGCCGCCUAGGAACGCGGAGAAAAUAUGACAAAGGAACGGCCAAAAAUAAAAAGAAAGACCUUUCUUUUGAAAAAACAAACAAAUAAAAGGAAUGCAACACAAGGACUUCCCAGGAGGUCACCCAUCCUAGUACUACUCUCGCCCAAGCACGCUUAACUUCGGAGUUCUGAUGGGAUCCGGUGCUUUAGUGCUGGUAUGAUCGCAUCCGACAUACCGUGCGUUCUCCUCCCCUUUAUGCCCGCGCCUCCGUGUACGGCCCGCCCAUAGCUCCUUCGACGGCGCCGCCUAGGAACGCGGAGAAAAUAUGACAAAGGAACGGCCAAAAAUAAAAAGAAAGACCUUUCUUUUGAAAAAACAAACGCCUCCGUGUACGGCCCGCCCAUAGCUCCUUCGACGGCGCCGCCUAGGAACGCGGAGAAAAUAUGACAAAGGAACGGCCAAAAAUAAAAAGAAAGACCUUUCUUUUGAAAAAACAAACAAAAAAAAGGAAUGCAACACGAGGACUUCCCAGGAGGUCACCCAUCCUAGUACUACUCUCGCCCAAGCACGCUUAACUUCGGAGUUCUGAUGGGAUCCGGUGCUUUAGUGCUGGUAUGAUCGCAUCCGACAUACCGUGCGUUCUCCUCCCCUUUAUGCCCGCGCCUCCGUGUACGGCCCGCCCAUAGCUCCUUCGACGGCGCCGCCUAGGAACGCGGAGAAAAUAUGACAAAGGAACGGCCAAAAAUAAAAAGAAAGACCUUUCUUUUGAAAAAACAAACGCCUCCGUGUACGGCCCGCCCAUAGCUCCUUCGACGGCGCCGCCUAGGAACGCGGAGAAAAUAUGACAAAGGAACGGCCAAAAAUAAAAAGAAAGACCUUUCUUUUGAAAAAACAAACAAAAAAAAGGAAUGCAACACGAGGACUUCCCAGGAGGUCACCCAUCCUAGUACUACUCUCGCCCAAGCACGCUUAACUUCGGAGUUCUGAUGGGAUCCGGUGCUUUAGUGCUGGUAUGAUCGCAUCCGACAUACCGUGCGUUCUCCUCCCCUUUAUGCCCGCGCCUCCGUGUACGGCCCGCCCAUAGCUCCUUCGACGGCGCCGCCUAGGAACGCGGAGAAAAUAUGACAAAGGAACGGCCAAAAAUAAAAAGAAAGACCUUUCUUUUGAAAAAACAAACAAAUAAAAGGAAUGCAACACGAGGACUUCCCAGGAGGUCACCCAUCCUAGUACUACUCUCGCCCAAGCACGCUUAACUUCGGAGUUCUGAUGGGAUCCGGUGCUUUAGUGCUGGUAUGAUCGCAUCCGACAUACCGUGCGUUCUCCUCCCCUUUAUGCCCGCGCCUCCGUGUACGGCCCGCCCAUAGCUCCUUCGACGGCGCCGCCUAGGAACGCGGAGAAAAUAUGACAAAGGAACGGCCAAAAAUAAAAAGAAAGACCUUUCUUUUGAAAAAACAAACAAAAAAAAAGGAAUGCAACACGAGGACUUCCCAGGAGGUCACCCAUCCUAGUACUACUCUCGCCCAAGCACGCUUAACUUCGGAGUUCUGAUGGGAUCCGGUGCUUUAGUGCUGGUAUGAUCGCAUCCGACAUACCGUGCGUUCUCCUCCCCUUUAUGCCCGCGCCUCCGUGUACGGCCCGCCCAUAGCUCCUUCGACGGCGCCGCCUAGGAACGCGGAGAAAAUAUGACAAAGGAACGGCCAAAAAUAAAAAGAAAGACCUUUCUUUUGAAAAAACAAACAAAAAAAAGGAAUGCAACACGAGGACUUCCCAGGAGGUCACCCAUCCUAGUACUACUCUCGCCCAAGCACGCUUAACUUCGGAGUUCUGAUGGGAUCCGGUGCUUUAGUGCUGGUAUGAUCGCAUCCGACAUACCGUGCGUUCUCCUCCCCUUUAUGCCCGCGCCUCCGUGUACGGCCCGCCCAUAGCUCCUUCGACGGCGCCGCCUAGGAACGCGGAGAAAAUAUGACAAAGGAACGGCCAAAAAUAAAAAGAAAGACCUUUCUUUUGAAAAAACAAACAAAAAAAAGGAAUGCAACACGAGGACUUCCCAGGAGGUCACCCAUCCUAGUACUACUCUCGCCCAAGCACGCUUAACUUCGGAGUUCUGAUGGGAUCCGGUGCUCUAGUGCUGGUAUGAUCGCAUCCGACAUACCGUGCGUUCUCCUCCCCUUUAUGCCCGCGCCUCCGUGUACGGCCCGCCCAUAGCUCCUUCGACGGCGCCGCCUAGGAACGCGGAGAAAAUAUGACAAAGGAACGGCCAAAAAUAAAAAGAAAGACCUUUCUUUUGAAAAAACAAACAAAAAAAAAGGAAUGCAACACGAGGACUUCCCAGGAGGUCACCCAUCCUAGUACUACUCUCGCCCAAGCACGCUUAACUUCGGAGUUCUGAUGGGAUCCGGUGCUUUAGUGCUGGUAUGAUCGCAUCCGACAUACCGUGCGUUCUCCUCCCCUUUAUGCCCGCGCCUCCGUGUACGGCCCGCCCAUAGCUCCUUCGACGGCGCCGCCUAGGAACGCGGAGAAAAUAUGACAAAGGAACGGCCAAAAAUAAAAAGAAAGACCUUUCUUUUGAAAAAACAAACAAAUAAAAGGAAUGCAACACGAGGACUUCCUAGGAGGUCACCCAUCCUAGUACUACUCUCGCCCAAGCACGCUUAACUUCGGAGUUCUAAUGGGAUCCGGUGCUUUAGUGCUGGUAUGAUCGCAUCCGACAUACCGUGCGUUCUCCUCCCCUUUAUGCCCGCGCCUCCGUGUACGGCCCGCCCAUAGCUCCUUCGACGGCGCCGCCUAGGAACGCGGAGAAAAUAUGACAAAGGAACGGCCAAAAAUAAAAAGAAAGACCUUUCUUUUGAAAAAACAAACAAAAAAAAGGAAUGCAACACGAGGACUUCCCAGGAGGUCACCCAUCCUAGUACUACUCUCGCCCAAGCACGCUUAACUUCGGAGUUCUGAUGGGAUCCGGUGCUUUAGUGCUGGUAUGAUCGCAUCCGACAUACCGUGCGUUCUCCUCCCCUUUAUGCCCGCGCCUCCGUGUACGGCCCGCCCAUAGCUCCUUCGACGGCGCCGCCUAGGAACGCGGAGAAAAUAUGACAAAGGAACGGCCAAAAAUAAAAAGAAAGACCUUUCUUUUGAAAAAACAAACAAAAAAAAGGAAUGCAACACGAGGACUUCCCAGGAGGUCACCCAUCCUAGUACUACUCUCGCCCAAGCACGCUUAACUUCGGAGUUCUGAUGGGAUCCGGUGCUUUAGUGCUGGUAUGAUCGCAUCCGACAUACCGUGCGUUCUCCUCCCCUUUAUGCCCGCGCCUCCGUGUACGGCCCGCCCAUAGCUCCUUCGACGGCGCCGCCUAGGAACGCGGAGAAAAUAUGACAAAGGAACGGCCAAAAAUAAAAAGAAAGACCUUUCUUUUGAAAAAACAAACAAAAAAAAGGAAUGCAACACGAGGACUUCCCAGGAGGUCACCCAUCCUAGUACUACUCUCGCCCAAGCACGCUUAACUUCGGAGUUCUGAUGGGAUCCGGUGCUUUAGUGCUGGUAUGAUCGAAUCCGACAUACCGUGCGUUCUCCUCCCCUUUAUGCCCGCGCCUCCGUGUACGGUCCGCCCAUAGCUCCUUCGACGGCGCCGCCUAGGAACGCGGAGAAAAUAUGACAAAGGAACGGCCAAAAAUAAAAAGAAAGACCUUUCUUUUGAAAAAACAAACAAAUAAAAGGAAUGCAACACGAGGACUUCCCAGGAGGUCACCCAUCCUAGUACUACUCUCGCCCAAGCACGCUUAACUUCGGAGUUCUGAUGGGAUCCGGUGCUUUAGUGCUGGUAUGAUCGCAUCCGACAUACCGUGCGUUCUCCUCCCCUUUAUGCCCGCGCCUCCGUGUACGGCCCGCCCAUAGCUCCUUCGACGGCGCCGCCUAGGAACGCGGAGAAAAUAUGACAAAGGAACGGCCAAAAAUAAAAAGAAAGACCUUUCUUUUGAAAAAACAAACAAAUAAAAGGAAUGCAACACGAGGACUUCCCAGGAGGUCACCCAUCCUAGUACUACUCUCGCCCAAGCACGCUUAACUUCGGAGUUCUGAUGGGAUCCGGUGCUUUAGUGCUGGUAUGAUCGCAUCCGACAUACCGUGCGUUCUCCUCCCCUUUAUGCCCGCGCCUCCGUGUACGGCCCGCCCAUAGCUCCUUCGACGGCGCCGCCUAGGAACGCGGAGAAAAUAUGACAAAGGAACGGCCAAAAAUAAAAAGAAAGACCUUUCUUUUGAAAAAACAAACAAAAAAAAGGAAUGCAGCACCAGGACUUCCCGGAAGGUCACCCAUCCAAAUACAACUCUCGCCGAACCACGUUUAACUUCGAAUUUCUAAUGGAAUCCGGGGCUUUAGAGCUGGAAUGAUCGCAUCCGACAUACCGUGCGUUCUCCUCCCCUUUAUGCCCGCGCCUCCGUGUACGGCCCGCCCAUAGCUCCUUCGACGGCGCCGCCUAGGAACGCGGAGAAAAUAUGACAAAGGAGCGGCCAAAAAUAAAAAGAAAGACCUUUCUUUUGAAAAAACAAACAAAUAAAAGGAAUGCAACACGAGGACUUCCUAGGAGGUCACCCAUCCUAGUACUACUCUCGCCCAAGCACGCUUAACUUCGGAGUUCUGAUGGGAUCCGGUGCUUUAGUGCUGGUAUGAUCGCAUCCGACAUACCGUGCGUUCUCCUCCCCUUUAUGCCCGCGCCUCCGUGUACGGCCCGCCCAUAGCUCCUUCGACGGCGCCGCCUAGGAACGCGGAGAAAAUAUGACAAAGGAACGGCCAAAAAUAAAAAGAAAGACCUUUCUUUUGAAAAAACAAACGCCUCCGUGUACGGCCCGCCCAUAGCUCCUUCGACGGCGCCGCCUAGGAACGCGGAGAAAAUAUGACAAAGGAACGGCCAAAAAUAAAAAGAAAGACCUUUCUUUUGAAAAAACAAACAAAAAAAAGGAAUGCAACACGAGGACUUCCCAGGAGGUCACCCAUCCUAGUACUACUCUCGCCCAAGCACGCUUAACUUCGGAGUUCUGAUGGGAUCCGGUGCUUUAGUGCUGGUAUGAUCGCAUCCGACAUACCGUGCGUUCUCCUCCCCUUUAUGCCCGCGCCUCCGUGUACGGCCCGCCCAUAGCUCCUUCGACGGCGCCGCCUAGGAACGCGGAGAAAAUAUGACAAAGGAACGGCCAAAAAUAAAAAGAAAGACCUUUCUUUUGAAAAAACAAACAAAUAAAAGGAAUGCAACACGAGGACUUCCCAGGAGGUCACCCAUCCUAGUACUACUCUCGCCCAAGCACGCUUAACUUCGGAGUUCUGAUGGGAUCCGGUGCUUUAGUGCUGGUAUGAUCGCAUUCGACAUACCGAUGCGUUCUCAUCCCCGUUAUGCGCCGCGCCUCUGUGUACGGCCCGCCCAUAGCUCCUUUGACUGCGCCUCGUAGGAUCGCGGAGAAUAUAUGACAAAGGCACGGCCAAACAUAAAACGAAAGACCUCUCUUUUGCAACAACAAACAAAAUAAAGGAAUGCAACACGAGGACUUCCCAGGAGGUCACCCAUCCUAGUACUAGUCUCGCUCAAGCACGCUGAUCUUCGGAGUUCUGAUGGGAUCCGGUGCUUUAGUGCUGGUAUGAUCGCAUCCGACAUACCGUGCGUUCUCCUCCCCUUUAUGCCCGCGCCUCCGUGUACGGCCCGCCCAUAGCUCCUUCGACGGCGCCGCCUAGGAACGCGGAGAAAAUAUGACAAAGGAACGGCCAAAAAUAAAAAGAAAGACCUUUCUUUUGAAAAAACAAACAAAAAAAAGGAAUGCAACACGAGGACUUCCCAGGAGGUCACCCAUCCUAGUACUACUCUCGCCCAAGCACGCUUAACUUCGGAGUUCUGAUGGGAUCCGGUGCUUUAGUGCUGGUAUGAUCGCAUCCGACAUACCGUGCGUUCUCCUCCCCUUUAUGCCCGCGCCUCCGUGUACGGCCCGCCCAUAGCUCCUUCGACGGCGCCGCCUAGGAACGCGGAGAAAAUAUGACAAAGGAACGGCCAAAAAUAAAAAGAAAGACCUUUCUUUUGAAAAAACAAACAAAUAAAAGGAAUGCAACACGAGGACUUCCCAGGAGGUCACCCAUCCUAGUACUACUCUCGCCCAAGCACGCUUAACUUCGGAGUUCUGAUGGGAUCCGGUGCUUUAGUGCUGGUAUGAUCGCAUCCGACAUACCGUGCGUUCUCCUCCCCUUUAUGCCCGCGCCUCCGUGUACGGCCCGCCCAUAGCUCCUUCGACGAGCCCGCCUAGGAACGCGGAGAAAAUAUGACAAAGGAACGGCCAAAAAUAAAAAGAAAGACCUUUCUUUUGAAAAAACAAACAAAUAAAAGGAAUGCAACACGAGGACUUCCCAGGAGGUCACCCAUCCUAGUACUACUCUCGCCCAAGCACGCUUAACUUCGGAGUUCUGAUGGGAUCCGGUGCUUUAGUGCUGGUAUGAUCGCAUCCGACAUACCGUGCGUUCUCCUCCCCUUUAUGCCCGCGCCUCCGUGUACGGCCCGCCCAUAGCUCCUUCGACGGCGCCGCCUAGGAACGCGGAGAAAAUAUGACAAAGGAACGGCCAAAAAUAAAAAGAAAGACCUUUCUUUUGAAAAAACAAACAAAAAAAAGGAAUGCAACACGAGGACUUCCCAGGAGGUCACCCAUCCUAGUACUACUCUCGCCCAAGCACGCUUAACUUCGGAGUUCUGAUGGGAUCCGGUGCUUUAGUGCUGGUAUGAUCGCAUCCGACAUACCGUGCGUUCUCCUCCCCUUUAUGCCCGCGCCUCCGUGUACGGCCCGCCCAUAGCUCCUUCGACGGCGCCGCCUAGGAACGCGGAGAAAAUAUGACAAAGGAACGGCCAAAAAUAAAAAGAAAGACCUUUCUUUUGAAAAAACAAACAAAUAAAAGGAAUGCAACACGAGGACUUCCCAGGAGGUCACCCAUCCUAGUACUACUCUCGCCCAAGCACGCUUAACUUCGGAGUUCUGAUGGGAUCCGGUGCUUUAGUGCUGGUAUGAUCGCAUCCGACAUACCGUGCGUUCUCCUCCCCUUUAUGCCCGCGCCUCCGUGUACGGCCCGCCCAUAGCUCCUUCGACGGCGCCGCCUAGGAACGCGGAGAAAAUAUGACAAAGGAACGGCCAAAAAUAAAAAGAAAGACCUUUCUUUUGAAAAAACAAACAAAUAAAAGGAAUGCAACACGAGGACUUCCCAGGAGGUCACCCAUCCUAGUACUACUCUCGCCCAAGCACGCUUAACUUCGGAGUUCUGAUGGGAUCCGGUGCUUUAGUGCUGGUAUGAUCGCAUCCGACAUACCGUGCGUUCUCCUCCCCUUUAUGCCCGCGCCUCCGUGUACGGUCCGCCCAUAGCUCUUUAGUUGGCGCCUCCUAGGAACGCGGAGAAAAUAUGACAAAGGAACGGCCAAAAAUAAAAAGAAAGACCUUUCUUUUGAAAAAACAAACGCCUCCGUGUACGGCCCGCCCAUAGCUCCUUCGACGGCGCCGCCUAGGAACGCGGAGAAAAUAUGACAAAGGAACGGCCAAAAAUAAAAAGAAAGACCUUUCUUUUGAAAAAACAAACAAAAAAAAGGAAUGCAACACGAGGACUUCCCAGGAGGUCACCCAUCCUAGUACUACUCUCGCCCAAGCACGCUUAACUUCGGAGUUCUGAUGGGAUCCGGUGCUUUAGUGCUGGUAUGAUCGCAUCCGACAUACCGUGCGUUCUCCUCCCCUUUAUGCCCGCGCCUCCGUGUACGGCCCGCCCAUAGCUCCUUCGACGGCGCCGCCUAGGAACGCGGAGAAAAUAUGACAAAGGAACGGCCAAAAAUAAAAAGAAAGACCUUUCUUUUGAAAAAACAAACAAAUAAAAGGAAUGCAACACGAGGAGUUCCCAGGAGGUCACCCAUCCUAGUACUACUCUCGCCCAAGCACGCUUAACUUCGGAGUUCUGAUGGGAUCCGGUGCUUUAGUGCUGGUAUGAUCGCAUCCGACAUACCGUGCGUUCUCCUCCCCUUUAUGCCCGCGCCUCCGUGUACGGCCCGCCCAUAGCUCCUUCGAUGGCGCCGCCUAGGAACGCGGAGAAAAUAUGACAAAGGAACGGCCAAAAAUAAAAAGAAAGACCUUUCUUUUGAAAAAACAAACGCCUCCGUGUACGGCCCGCCCAUAGCUCCUUCGACGGCGCCGCCUAGGAACGCGGAGAAAAUAUGACAAAGGAACGGCCAAAAAUAAAAAGAAAGACCUUUCUUUUGAAAAAACAAACAAAAAAAAGGAAUGCAACACGAGGACUUCCCAGGAGGUCACCCAUCCUAGUACUACUCUCGCCCAAGCACGCUUAACUUCGGAGUUCGGAUGGGAUCCGGUGCUUUAGUGCUGGUAUGAUCGCAUCCGACAUACCGUGCGUUCUCCUCCCCUUUAUGCCCGCGCCUCCGUGUACGGCCCGCCCAUAGCUCCUUCGACGGCGCCGCCUAGGAACGCGGAGAAAAUAUGACAAAGGAACGGCCAAAAAUAAAAAGAAAGACCUUUCUUUUGAAAAAACAAACAAAUAAAAGGAAUGCAACACGAGGACUUCCCAGGAGGUCACCCAUCCUAGUACUACUCUCGCCCAAGCACGCUUAACUUCGGAGUUCUGAUGGGAUCCGGUGCUUUAGUGCUGGUAUGAUCGCAUCCGACAUACCGUGCGUUCUCCUCCCCUUUAUGCCCGCGCCUCCGUGUACGGCCCGCCCAUAGCUCCUUCGACGGCGCCGCCUAGGAACGCGGAGAAAAUAUGACAAAGGAACGGCCAAAAAUAAAAAGAAAGACCUUUCUUUUGAAAAAACAAACAAAAAAAAGGAAUGCAACACGAGGACUUCCCAGGAGGUCACCCAUCCUAGUACUACUCUCGCCCAAGCACGCUUAACUUCGCAGUUCUGAUGGGAUCCGGUGCUUUAGUGCUGGUAUGAUCGCAUCCGACAUACCGUGCGUUCUCCUCCCCUUUAUGCCCGCGCCUCCGUGUACGGCCCGCCCAUAGCUCCUUCGACGGCGCCGCCUAGGAACGCGGAGAAAAUAUGACAAAGGAACGGCCAAAAAUAAAAAGAAAGACCUUUCUUUUGAAAAAACAAACGGCUCCGUGUACGGCCCGCCCAUAGCUCCUUCGACGGCGCCGCCUAGGAACGCGGAGAAAAUAUGACAAAGGAACGGCCAAAAAUAAAAAGAAAGACCUUUCUUUUGAAAAAACAAACAAAAAAAAGGAAUGCAACACGAGGACUUCCCAGGAGGUCACCCAUCCUAGUACUACUCUCGCCCAAGCACGCUUAACUUCGGAGUUCUGAUGGGAUCCGGUGCUUUAGUGCUGGUAUGAUCGCAUCCGACAUACCGUGCGUUCUCCUCCCCUUUAUGCCCGCGCCUCCGUGUACGGCCCGCCCAUAGCUCCUUCGACGGCGCCGCCUAGGAACGCGGAGAAAAUAUGACAAAGGAACGGCCAAAAAUAAAAAGAAAGACCUUUCUUUUGAAAAAACAAACAAAUAAAAGGAAUGCAACACGAGGACUUCCCAGGAGGUCACCCAUCCUAGUACUACUCUCGCCCAAGCACGCUUAACUUCGGAGUUCUGAUGGGAUCCGGUGCUUUAGUGCUGGUAUGAUCGCAUCCGACAUACCGUGUGUCGACGAAAGCUGGUCGGCAGUCUACCUUGGGGUAUACCCACGGUAGUAGUUUAUCGGUAGACGGUGCGCAAACUACGAACUCGAUGGUGACGCAAGACACGGACAAGCUUUUUAUCCAGGUUCGGCCGCCGAGUUGGCGUAAUACCUACGUCCUGCGUCUGGUUGUAUUGGAUUGUGUUUAGAGAUAAUCUACCCUAGGGGGUCCCCUUGCCCCUCCUUAUAUAGUCUGGAGGGCAGGGUUACAGAUCUAGAAACUAAUCCUAGCCGGUUACAAUUGCCAUAGAUAAUUCGAUAUCAAUUCCUAUUCUAACCGACUAGAAUCCUGCUUGAUCUCCACGUCCUGUUUCCUUGCGCGAAACUCGGGCUAUCGGAUCAAGCCUUGAACUCGUCUCGUAGUGGGCCAAGCUUCCUAGCUGAAGUCUAGCCGUAAGGGUAUAGGGGUUUAUACCCCCACAGCUAGUCCCCGAGCGCCAUGUAUUGUGACGCAACACUCCGUCUUGAGCUUCUUCGAUCAGCGUGGUCUGUCGUCUUCAAUGAGCGGGGAAAUCGCCCAAACGGUUCAUUGAUCAACGUUGUCAUCGAAGAAGCAGGUUGUUCGAAGAAUGCAUGGUGCUCUAAAAAAAAUUUCUUUCCUGGUGAAGUGUGCCCACUUUGCCUUUCUGAAAGGUAGAAGCAACAAAAAAGCAAGCAAAUUCACCGCUAGGUGAAGUGUGCCCACUUAGUCCCCGAGCCUGGUAGUAGGUGUCGUAGGCACGUGGUGCCAGGGUCAAAAGAAAAUUCCCCAAAGUAGUUUUGGGACUGAGAUGCAUCGUACCGAUGUAGUCCCCGAGCUUGCUGGAAGGCGAAGUAUGAGCCUUGUAGCAAGGUCUAAAAAAUUGAAUUUACCAGUCCCCGAGCAUGUCAUGCUCGUCUGCAAUCGAAAAGACCAAUCGACCAGUCCCCAGGCACUUAGUGUGCUGCCUGGAAUUACAUGUUACUAUACUGUACGACCAGUCCCCGAGCAUCGAGUGCUCAGUGGUCGGUGCAUGCUUUAAAGCUUUGAGCUGAUAGACUGAGCGACCAGUCCCCGAGCGUCGAGUGCUCGGUGGUCGGUGAAGUCUUUGAAGUUCCGAGCUGAUAAACUGGGCGACCAGUCCCCGAGCGUCGAGUGCUCGGUGGUCGGUGCAGUCUUUGAAGUUCCGAGCUAAUAAACUGGGCGACCAGUCCCCGAGCGUCGAGUGCUCGGUGGUCGGUGCAGUCUUUGAAGUUCCGAGCUAAUAAACUGGGCGACCAGUCCCCGAGCGUCGAGUGCUCGGUGGUCGGUGCAGUCCCCGGAUUGCUGACUCACUGGCGUAUGUGUCUUCUUACUUUUGAAAAGGUCUUUCAAAUUUAAAGUUGACGUGACGGGGUCUCCUGACGAUAUGUCAGACGGAUGCAUGAAAAGCUGUGCCUGGCAACUGUACAACCGCUCUUUGCNNNNNNNNNNNNNNNNNNNNNNNNNNNNNNNNNNNNNNNNNNNNNNNNNNNNNNNNNNNNNNNNNNNNNNNNNNNNNNNNNNNNNNNNNNNNNNNNNNNNCGUUCUCCUCCCCUUUAUGCCCGCGCCUCCGUGUCCGUAAAGGGCAUAGCUCCUUCGACGGCGCCGCCGUAGGAACGCUGAGAAGAUAUGACAAAGGAACGGCCAAAAAUAAAAAGAAAGACCUUUCUUUUGAAAAAACAAACAAAAAAAAGGAAUGCAACACGAGGACUUCCCAGGAGGUCACCCAUCCUAGUACUACUCUCGCCCAAGCACGCUUAACUUCGGAGUUCUGAUGGGAUCCGGUGCUUUAGUGCUGGUAUGAUCGCAUCCGACAUACCGUGCGUUCUCCUCCCCUUUAUGCCCGCGCCUCCGUGUACGGCCGGCCCAUAGCUCCUUCGACGGCGCCGCCUAGGAACGCGGAGAAAAUAUGACAAAGGAAUUUUUUUAAAUAAAAAGAAAGACCUUUCUUUUGAAAAAACAAACGAAAAAAAGGAAUGCAACACGAGGACUUCCCAGGAGGUCACCCAUCCUAGUACUACUCUCGCCCAAGCACGCUUAACUUCGGAGUUCUGAUGGGAUCCGGUGCUUUAGUGCUGGUAUGAUCGCAUCCGACAUACCGUGCGUUCUCCUCCCCUUUAUGCCCGCGCCUCCGUGUACGGCCCGCCCAUAGCUCCUUCGACGGCGCCGCCUAAGAACGCGGAAAAAAUAUGACAAAGGAACGGCCAAAAAUAAAAAAAAAAAACCUUUCUUUUGAAAAAANNNNNNNNNNNNNNNNNNNNNNNNNNNNNNNNNNNNNNNNNNNNNNNNNNNNNNNNNNNNNNNNNNNNNNNNNNNNNNNNNNNNNNNNNNNNNNNNNNNNAAAAGGAAUGCAACACGAGGACUUCCCAGGAGGUCACCCAUCCUAGUACUACUCUCGCCCAAGCACGCUUAACUUCGGAGUUCUGAUGGGAUCCGGUGCUUUAGUGCUGGUAUGAUCGCAUCCGACAUACCGUGCGUUCUCCUCCCCUUUAUGCCCGCGCCUCCGUGUUACGGCCCGCCCAUAGCUCCUUCGACGGCGCCGCCUAGGAACGCGGAGAAAAUAUGACAAAGGAACGGCCAAAAAUCAAAAGAAAGACCUUUCUUUUGAAAAAACACACGCCUCCGUGUACGGCCCGCCCAUAGCUCCUUCGACGGCGCCGCCUAGGAACGCGGAGAAAAUAUGACAAAGGAACGGCCAAAAAUAAAAAGAAAGACCUUUCUUUUGAAAAAACAAACAAAUAAAAGGAAUGCAACACGAGGACUUCCCAGGAGGUCACCCAUCCUAGUACUACUCUCGCCCAAGCACGCUUAACUUCGGAGUUCUGAUGGGAUCCGGUGCUUUAGUGCUGGUAUGAUCGCAUCCGACAUACCGUGCGUUCUCCUCCCCUUUAUGCCCGCGCCUCCGUGUACGGCCCGCCCAUAGCUCCUUCGACGGCGCCGCCUAGGAACGCGGAGAAAAUAUGACAAAGGAACGGCCAAAAAUAAAAAGAAAGACCUUUCUUUUGAAAAAACAAACAAAUAAAAGGAAUGCAACACGAGGACUUCCCAGGAGGUCACCCAUCCUAGUACUACUCUCGCCCAAGCACGCUUAACUUCGGAGUUCUGAUGGGAUCCGGUGCUUUAGUGCUGGUAUGAUCGCAUCCGACAUACCGUGCGUUCUCCUCCCCUUUAUGCCCGCGCCUCCGUGUACGGCCCGCCCAUAGCUCCUUCGACGGCGCCGCCUAGGAACGCGGAGAAAAUAUGACAAAGGAACGGCCAAAAAUAAAAAGAAAGACCUUUCUUUUGAAAAAACAAACGCCUCCGUGUACGGCCCGCCCAUAGCUCCUUCGACGGCGCCGCCUAGGAACGCGGAGAAAAUAUGACAAAGGAACGGCCAAAAAUAAAAAGAAAGACCUUUCUUUUGAAAAAACAAACAAAAAAAAGGAAUGCAACACGAGGACUUCCCAGGAGGUCACCCAUCCUAGUACUACUCUCGCCCAAGCACGCUUAACUUCGGAGUUCUGAUGGGAUCCGGUGCUUUAGUGCUGGUAUGAUCGCAUCCGACAUACCGUGCGUUCUCCUCCCCUUUAUGCCCGCGCCUCCGUGUACGGCCCGCCCAUAGCUCCUUCGACGGCGCCGCCUAGGAACGCGGAGAAAAUAUGACAAAGGAACGGCCAAAAAUAAAAAGAAAGACCUUUCUUUUGAAAAAACAAACAAAUAAAAGGAAUGCAACACGAGGACUUCCCAGGAGGUCACCCAUCCUAGUACUACUCUCGCCCAAGCACGCUUAACUUCGGAGUUCUGAUGGGAUCCGGUGCUUUAGUGCUGGUAUGAUCGCAUCCGACAUACCGUGCGUUCUCCUCCCCUUUAUGCCCGCGCCUCCGUGUACGGCCCGCCCAUAGCUCCUUCGACGGCGCCGCCUAGGAACGCGGAGAAAAUAUGACAAAGGAACGGCCAAAAAUAAAAAGAAAGACCUUUCUUUUGAAAAAACAAACGCCUCCGUGUACGGCCCGCCCAUAGCUCCUUCGACGGCGCCGCCUAGGAACGCGGAGAAAAUAUGACAAAGGAACGGCCAAAAAUAAAAAGAAAGACCUUUCUUUUGAAAAAACAAACAAAAAAAAGGAAUGCAACACGAGGACUUCCCAGGAGGUCACCCAUCCUAGUACUACUCUCGCCCAAGCACGCUUAACUUCGGAGUUCUGAUGGGAUCCGGUGCUUUAGUGCUGGUAUGAUCGCAUCCGACAUACCGUGCGUUCUCCUCCCCUUUAUGCCCGCGCCUCCGUGUACGGCCCGCCCAUAGCUCCUUCGACGGCGCCGCCUAGGAACGCGGAGAAAAUAUGACAAAGGAACGGCCAAAAAUAAAAAGAAAGACCUUUCUUUUGAAAAAACAAACAAAUAAAAGGAAUGCAACACGAGGACUUCCCAGGAGGUCACCCAUCCUAGUACUACUCUCGCCCAAGCACGCUUAACUUCGGAGUUCUGAUGGGAUCCGGUGCUUUAGUGCUGGUAUGAUCGCAUCCGACAUACCGUGCGUUCUCCUCCCCUUUAUGCCCGCGCCUCCGUGUACGGCCCGCCCAUAGCUCCUUCGACGGCGCCGCCUAGGAACGCGGAGAAAAUAUGACAAAGGAACGGCCAAAAAUAAAAAGAAAGACCUUUCUUUUGAAAAAACAAACAAAAAAAAGGAAUGCAACACGAGGACUUCCCAGGAGGUCACCCAUCCUAGUACUACUCUCGCCCAAGCACGCUUAACUUCGGAGUUCUGAUGGGAUCCGGUGCUUUAGUGCUGGUAUGAUCGCAUCCGACAUACCGUGCGUUCUCCUCCCCUUUAUGCCCGCGCCUCCGGGUACGGUCCUCCCAUAGCUCCGUCAACGGCCCGCCUAGGAACGCGGAGAAAAUAUGACAAAGGAACGGCCAAAAAUAAAAAGAAAGCCCUUUCUUUUGAAAAGACAACCGAAUAAAAGGAAUGCCACGCGAGGACUUCCCAGGAGGUCACCCAUCAUAGUACUACUCUCGCCCAAGCACGCUUAACUUCGGAGUUCUGAUGGGAUCCGGUGCUUUAGUGCUGGUAUGAUCGCAUCCGACAUACCGCGCGUUCUCCUCCCCUUAAGGCCCGCGCCUCCGUGUACGGCCCGCCCAUAGCUCCUUAGACGGCACCUCCUAGGAACGCGGAGAAAAUAUGACAAAGGAACGGCCAAAAAUAAAAAGAAAGACCUUUCUUUUGAAAAAACAAACGCCUCCGUGUACGGCCCGCCCAUAGCUCCUUCGACGGCGCCGCCUAGGAACGCGGAGAAAAUAUGACAAAGGAACGGCCAAAAAUAAAAAGAAAGACCUUUCUUUUGAAAAAACAAACAAAAAAAAGGAAUGCAACACGAGGACUUCCCAGGAGGUCACCCAUCCUAGUACUACUCUCGCCCAAGCACGCUUAACUUCGGAGUUCUGAUGGGAUCCGGUGCUUUAGUGCUGGUAUGAUCGCAUCCGACAUACCGUGCGUUCUCCUCCCCUUUAUGCCCGCGCCUCCGUGUACGGCCCGCCCAUAGCUCCUUCGACGGCGCCGCCUAGGAACGCGGAGAAAAUAUGACAAAGGAACGGCCAAAAAUAAAAAGAAAGACCUUUCUUUUGAAAAAACAAACGCCUCCGCGUACGGCCCGCCCAUAGCUCCUUCGACGGCGCCGCCUAGGAACGCGGAGAAAAUAUGACAAAGGAACGGCCAAAAAUAAAAAGAAAGACCUUUCUUUUGAAAAAACAAACAAAAAAAAGGAAUGCAACACGAGGACUUCCCAGGAGGUCACCCAUCCUAGUACUACUCUCGCCCAAGCACGCUUAACUUCGGAGUUCUGAUGGGAUCCGGUGCUUUAGUGCUGGUAUGAUCGCAUCCGACAUACCGUGCGUUCUCCUCCCCUUUAUGCCCGCGCCUCCGUGUACGGCCCGCCCAUAGCUCCUUCGACGGCGCCGCCUAGGAACGCGGAGAAAAUAUGACAAAGGAACGGCCAAAAAUAAAAAGAAAGACCUUUCUUUUGAAAAAACAAACAAAUAAAAGGAAUGCAACACGAGGACUUCCCAGGAGGUCACCCAUCCUAGUACUACUCUCGCCCAAGCACGCUUAACUUCGGAGUUCUGAUGGGAUCCGGUGCUUUAGUGCUGGUAUGAUCGCAUCCGACAUACCGUGCGUUCUCCUCCCCUUUAUGCCCGCGCCUCCGUGUACGGCCCGCCCAUAGCUCCUUCGACGGCGCCGCCUAGGAACGCGGAGAAAAUAUGACAAAGGAACGGCCAAAAAUAAAAAGAAAGACCUUUCUUUUGAAAAAACAAACAAAUAAAAGGAAUGCAACACGAGGACUUCCCAGGAGGUCACCCAUCCUAGUACUACUCUCGCCCAAGCACGCUUAACUUCGGAGUUCUGAUGGGAUCCGGUGCUUUAGUGCUGGUAUGAUCGCAUCCGACAUACCGUGCGUUCUCCUCCCCUUUAUGCCCGCGCCUCCGUGUACGGCCCGCCCAUAGCUCCUUCGACGGCGCCGCCUAGGAACGCGGAGAAAAUAUGACAAAGGAACGGCCAAAAAUAAAAAGAAAGACCUUUCUUUUGAAAAAACAAACGCCUCCGUGUACGGCCCGCCCAUAGCUCCUUCGACGGCGCCGCCUAGGAACGCGGAGAAAAUAUGACAAAGGAACGGCCAAAAAUAAAAAGAAAGACCUUUCUUUUGAAAAAACAAACAAAAAAAAGGAAUGCAACACGAGGACUUCCCAGGAGGUCACCCAUCCUAGUACUACUCUCGCCCAAGCACGCUUAACUUCGGAGUUCUGAUGGGAUCCGGUGCUUUAGUGCUGGUAUGAUCGCAUCCGACAUACCGUGCGUUCUCCUCCCCUUUAUGCCCGCGCCUCCGUGUACGGCCCGCCCAUAGCUCCUUCGACGGCGCCGCCUAGGAACGCGGAGAAAAUAUGACAAAGGAACGGCCAAAAAUAAAAAGAAAGACCUUUCUUUUGAAAAAACAAACAAAUAAAAGGAAUGCAACACGAGGACUUCCCAGGAGGUCACCCAUCCUAGUACUACUCUCGCCCAAGCACGCUUAACUUCGGAGUUCUGAUGGGAUCCGGUGCUUUAGUGCUGGUAUGAUCGCAUCCGACAUACCGUGCGUUCUCCUCCCCUUUAUACCCGCGCCUCCGUGUACGGCCCGCCCAUAGCUCCUUCGACGGCGCCGCCUAGGAACGCGGAGAAAAUAUGACAAAGGAACGGCCAAAAAUAAAAAGAAAGACCUUUCUUUUGAAAAAACAAACAAAUAAAAGGAAUGCAACACGAGGACUUCCCAGGAGGUCACCCAUCCUAGUACUACUCUCGCCCAAGCACGCUUAACUUCGGAGUUCUGAUGGGAUCCGGUGCUUUAGUGCUGGUAUGAUCGCAUCCGACAUACCGUGCGUUCUCCUCCCCUUUAUGCCCGCGCCUCCGUGUACGGCCCGCCCAUAGCUCCUUCGACGGCGCCGCCUAGGAACGCGGAGAAAAUAUGACAAAGGAACGGCCAAAAAUAAAAAGAAAGACCUUUCUUUUGAAAAAACAAACGCCUCCGUGUACGGCCCGCCCAUAGCUCCUUCGACGGCGCCGCCUAGGAACGCGGAGAAAAUAUGACAAAGGAACGGCCAAAAAUAAAAAGAAAGACCUUUCUUUUGAAAAAACAAACAAAAAAAAGGAAUGCAACACGAGGACUUCCCAGGAGGUCACCCAUCCUAGUACUACUCUCGCCCAAGCACGCUUAACUUCGGAGUUCUGAUGGGAUCCGGUGCUUUAGUGCUGGUAUGAUCGCAUCCGACAUACCGUGCGUUCUCCUCCCCUUUAUACCCGCGCCUCCGUGUACGGCCCGCCCAUAGCUCCUUCGACGGCGCCGCCUAGGAACGCGGAGAAAAUAUGACAAAGGAACGGCCAAAAAUAAAAAGAAAGACCUUUCUUUUGAAAAAACAAGCAAAAAAAAGGAAUGCAACACGAGGACUUCCCAGGAGGUCACCCAUCCUAGUACUACUCUCGCCCAAGCACGCUUAACUUCGGAGUUCUGAUGGGAUCCGGUGCUUUAGUGCUGGUAUGAUCGCAUCCGACAUACCGUGCGUUCUCCUCCCCUUUAUGCCCGCGCCUCCGUGUACGGCCCGCCCAUAGCUCCUUCGACAGCGCCGCCUAGGAACGCGGAGAAAAUAUGACAAAGGAACGGCAAAAAAUAAAAAGAAAGACCUUUCUUUUGAAAAAACAAACAAAAAAAAGGAAUGCAACACGCGGACUUCCCAGGAGGUCACCCAUCCUAGUACUACUCUCGCCUAAGCACGCUUAACUUCGGAGUNNNNNNNNNNNNNNNNNNNNNNNNNNNNNNNNNNNNNNNNNNNNNNNNNNNNNNNNNNNNNNNNNNNNNNNNNNNNNNNNNNNNNNNNNNNNNNNNNNNNNNNNNNNNNNNNNNNNNNNNNNNNNNNNNNNNNNNNNNNNNNNNNNNNNNNNNNNNNNNNNNNNNNNNNNNNNNNNNNNNNNNNNNNNNNNNNNNNNNNNNNNNNNNNNNNNNNNNNNNNNNNNNNNNNNNNNNNNNNNNNNNNNNNNNNNNNNNNNNNNNNNNNNNNNNNNNNNNNNNNNNNNNNNNNNNNNNNNNNNNNNNNNNNNNNNNNNNNNNNNNNNNNNNNNNNNNNNNNNNNNNNNNNNNNNNNNNNNNNNNNNNNNNNNNNNNNNNNNNNNNNNNNNNNNNNNNNNNNNNNNNNNNNNNNNNNNNNNNNNNNNNNNNNNNNNNNNNNNNNNNNNNNNNNNNNNNNNNNNNNNNNNNNNNNNNNNNNNNNNNNNNNNNNNNNNNNNNNNNNNNNNNNNNNNNNNNNNNNNNNNNNNNNNNNNNNNNNNNNNNNNNNNNNNNNNNNNNNNNNNNNNNNNNNNNNNNNNNNNNNNNNNNNNNNNNNNNNNNNNNNNNNNNNNNNNNNNNNNNNNNNNNNNNNNNNNNNNNNNNNNNNNNNNNNNNNNNNNNNNNNNNNNNNNNNNNNNNNNNNNNNNNNNNNNNNNNNNNNNNNNNNNNNNNNNNNNNNNNNNNNNNNNNNNNNNNNNNNNNNNNNNNNNNNNNNNNNNNNNNNNNNNNNNNNNNNNNNNNNNNNNNNNNNNNNNNNNNNNNNNNNNNNNNNNNNNNNNNNNNNNNNNNNNNNNNNNNNNNNNNNNNNNNNNNNNNNNNNNNNNNNNNNNNNNNNNNNNNNNNNNNNNNNNNNNNNNNNNNNNNNNNNNNNNNNNNNNNNNNNNNNNNNNNNNNNNNNNNNNNNNNNNNNNNNNNNNNNNNNNNNNNNNNNNNNNNNNNNNNNNNNNNNNNNNNNNNNNNNNNNNNNNNNNNNNNNNNNNNNNNNNNNNNNNNNNNNNNNNNNNNNNNNNNNNNNNNNNNNNNNNNNNNNNNNNNNNNNNNNNNNNNNNNNNNNNNNNNNNNNNNNNNNNNNNNNNNNNNNNNNNNNNNNNNNNNNNNNNNNNNNNNNNNNNNNNNNNNNNNNNNNNNNNNNNNNNNNNNNNNNNNNNNNNNNNNNNNNNNNNNNNNNNNNNNNNNNNNNNNNNNNNNNNNNNNNNNNNNNNNNNNNNNNNNNNNNNNNNNNNNNNNNNNNNNNNNNNNNNNNNNNNNNNNNNNNNNNNNNNNNNNNNNNNNNNNNNNNNNNNNNNNNNNNNNNNNNNNNNNNNNNNNNNNNNNNNNNNNNNNNNNNNNNNNNNNNNNNNNNNCCUUCAUCCAUCUGUGCGAGGCCUAUGUUGGCAUAGAGCCGCACUUUGAUCUUUUCCGGUAUCUUUUCUGUCUGAGGAAGAAGGGAGCAGUUGGAGGCUCCAAGGUUGCAGGUGGAGUAUACCUCAACCUCCGUGAUGGGAUGAAGAAUCGCUACCUGCACUGCCCAUGGAACACCUCCUUGACCGAAUGGUACAGGAAGUGGUUCUACGUCAGGGAGGAACCGGGCAGCUCCACGUUCUGCGACGUGGGGUACGUUCCCGAGAAGAGGGCGAGCUGGACUGACCGCCCAGAGUUCGACGGUCAAGUGGCGGUUCUGAUGAAGCUGAUCGACUGGUCGCGCCUGGAUGGGCUCAGCGUGGUCGGCAACUUCAUUUGCCGCCGGGUGAUGCCCUGCCAGAAGAGGGUGCACUCGGCGUAUGAAUAUGCCGGAAGCACAGACCCGACCAGGAUGCGGUCGGAGAUCCUGGAGAAGGCGGAGGUACAACAGCUGCUGAACGAGCUGUUUAACUUCGCGGAUGGGGGCUUCACCCGUAGCAGUGAUCGGGUGCAAGCCUUCAAGUUAGGACGACCAGCACCAAAGGUAUGUAGCAGACUUCGUUUGAUCAUUCGUAUGUCGCCUGUAGUUGGCUCAUCUCUGUUACCUUUGCAGGUCGGUGAUGUCGACCGGUGCGUAGUGUACGUAUCACUGGCACCGGGGAUGGAAGAUCCUGUGGGAGAGGUCCCACCGGAGGAAGGCAGAGCCCGCCCCGUCCCGACCUCCGAGGAGAGGGUGGCGGGGAAAAGGCCAUUGCCGGUGGAUCCCCUGCCGACGCCGGAGCUGCCGGCAGACCUACCGGCGGAGAGCAGCCAAGCGCCGAAGCGUCGUCGGCUCGUGCGGAUCGUCGACGACGACGACGACGACGAGGAGGCUGCGCCGUCGUUGGUCCGACGGCCUCGGGGCCGCCCAGACGCUGCACCAGUCGCCACUGAUCGAGUGGCCAACGGCGCGGCUGCCCCGCAAGUUGCCGAGGUGGGGGCACAGGCGCCGACCGGCCGGGCGAGGAGGAGGUUCACCGCGACCCAUCGCCGGUCAGACCUGUAAGUGUUCAACUUACGUAUUUUGGACUCCCCCUUUUUUUUUUUUUUAAACUUUUGUUCCUGUAGUGCGGCAUCGGAUGUCGACCCUGGCCAAACUGCCGGCCAGGGAACGGGCGAGCCUGCCCGCGGUUCUCGGGAUGCGGCCCCCCAGACCACAGAACAGCCGACUGCUGCAGUCGCGCCUGGGAGCACCGAGGAGCUCCCGAGCGCGGCGCCGACUACAACAAGCAGCCCGACCAGGGCUGGGGAGGCUCCCCCAACUGACUCUUCGGAGAAGGGAAAGUCUCCGACCGCUCCUCCUGCCGGGGGGAGUGAAGUCCCCCCGCCGCCCCGAGCAGAAGCCUCUCCGGCUGCGGGCUCCCCAGGUCUGGUCCAAGGGACGUUGACGCCUGGGACCACCACCGGGGGUGACGCAGCCCAGGAGGAGGAAACCAGGGCGGCCUCCGACGACGAGGUAGAAGAGAUCGAGGGUCGUCCCCGUGAUGGCCGCCAACACGUGUAUGUGUGGCGCCAACGCGGGGAUCACUUUAUCGGUCAUGAGGAGCUUGCCGAGUCCGAAGAGGCCGCCAGGGUGGAGCGCGCGGCCAAGCGCCUUGUCGACGAAGUCAAGGUAAGCGUCGUUUUGAGCUGCCGCGCAUUCUUUUGCCUUGUCUUCUGCGCAUUGUUAUAUGCUUGCUUUGUAGGACGUUAUGAAAACGGCGAAGUACCGGAAACGGUGCUUUGACCAGAUAGAAGGCGUCAUGGCCGAGAACAAGGCCCUUGCCGCGGAGGUAGACCGGUUGCGGGCGGAGGUCGGAGAGAAGGUGGUCGAGAUGAGCACCGAGAAGGAGCGUCGUCUCGACCUCGCUCGUCGCCUGGCCGACCAGUACCGGCUGCAGGAAGGUUAGUCUCACGCUCCGAGCAGUUUCGCAGACUUGUAUAGUUUGCUUCGCUGACCAGUUUAGGAUUCACGCAGACUUGGAGGAGGAGGUGGCGAGCCUCCAACAAGAGAAGGAGCAGCUCGGCCAACAGCUCGCCAGUGCGCAGGAGUCCGGACGGCGAGCGGAAGAGGAAUUAAGUCGUAAAGACCGGGAGUUAGCUGGUAAUGGGUGCCGCCUUGUUGGUUGCUACCUGCCCCUUUGCUUGUUUGGUAUGCCGAAAGUAACGUUUCGUUUCGUUUGCAGUGCUCAAGGUGAACACCAAAAAGCACCUGGAUGAGCUGGUCAAGGACCGGGACUCCUGGAAGGUCAACUGUUGCAGGAUCUGGAAGGGAGUGUCCCCGGUCCUGGACCUGAUCAGUCCCGAGCUCCCGGAGAGCCAGCCCCGCGCGCCGCAGUUGACCCCGGUUCAAAAGGCGCAACGGGCGUGGGACUGGCUCCAGCAGUUUGUGAAGGACGCCGGGGAGUUUGCCGGCGCGCACGUCCUCAGCAUGGUACGCGCCCACUACCCCCUUGUCGACUUGAGCAGGCUGGAGAAGGGGUACCCGAAGGAAGUCGGCCCACAGGAAGCGGACGAACUUCGGGGUAGUCUGCUGGACUUGUCGUCGACAGUGAUCGGCGACAUCAACCUGUGCGGAACGGCCACUCCUCCAGACCAGCCGAGCUCAGAUAGGUCGGCCAGGGAGUUGUCGGGCGCGUCCUUUGCUGGAGAUGGGCGGUCGACGCCUGCGGUCUCGACCAGCCAGGCGCCGGUGGCCCCGACCCCUUCGUCCGGGCAGCAGGGCCAGGCGGGUGAUCAGCCCGAGCAGCUAGGCCAAUAAAGUAGUCUGUAGGAAUAGACUAGUAUCUGCCCGUCAGGGUAUUUAUUGUAAACUUUGUAUGUAAAGUUUGUAAUAAAGUUUUCUUUUUGUCAUGACUGUUGUUUUGAGCGCUGUAAAAAUAUCUGAGUGAUGUGUCAUCGUAUUUGUCUUGGUUGUCGCCAAGAGCAUCCAUUGCGGGAGUUUUGCCGAGUGCUGUGUAUGACAAGGUAUAGGCAAAAAAUAGAGAAUUAUAUUGUCACAAAUUAUAAGACACUUACAAAAGAAAGUCGCUAAAACUUUAUGGAUAGAAACGUCGCAGUUUGUCGAUGUGCCAAGAGUUAGGCACUCGUGUUCCGUCUGGGUAUGCCAAUCUGUAGGACGUAGGUCGUGUGACCUCGGUCACCACGAAGGGUCCUUCCCAGGGAGUAGAUAACUUGUGCAUUCCCUCCUGGCUUGUUUUCCAUCGAAGCACCAGAUCGCCGACCACGAAGGAACGGUCCUUGACGUUCCUGUUGUAGUAUCGCCUGACUGCCGUGAGAUAUUUUGCUGUUCGGAGACAUGAAACUAAACGCUUUUCCUCCAUGCAAUUGAUUUCGAGUUCUCUGGCGUUGUCGGCGGUCGACUGGUCGAAGUGCUCAAUUCUAGGGGAUCCGAAGUGUAUGUCGGACGGCAGAACCGCCUCUGCGCCGUACACCAUGAAAUAGGGAGACACCCCCGUGUUUCGACUGGUCUGAGUUCGAAGGCCCCAGACCACUGCCGGCAAUUCUUUCAUCCAUCGACCGGGUGCUCUGUCGUUCUCGGUGUACAAUCUUUUCUUUAGGGCGUCGACGAUCAUUCCAUUAGCACGUUCGACCUGACCGUUGGCACGUGGAUGUGCCACUGACACAUAUUUUAUGACUAUGCCUCUGUCAUCGCAGAAAUCCCAAAAGGUGGUGCCAGUAAACUGAGUGCCCAGGUCGGUGAUUAUGCUGUUCGGGAUGCCGAAUCUGUGUAUGAUUUGAUUGAGGAACUCCACAGCCUUCUCGGAAGUUGCCUUGACCAGGGGCAUGUAUUCAAUCCACUUGGAGAACUUGUCGAUUAACACGAAGACAAACUUGAAGUUGCCCGGGGCUGGUUUAAAUGGUCCGAUCAUGUCAAGCCCCCAGCAGGCAAAGGGCCAAGACGACGGGAUGGUUUGAAUUUCAUGGGCAGGUACGUGGGUCCUCUUAGCGAAAAACUGACAUCCUUCGCAACGCCGAACCAGUUUUUCUGCAUCGCUGACCGCGGUCGGCCAGUAAAAACCUGCUCGGAAAGCCUUUCCGACCAGCGUUCUAGAUGCGGCGUGGUUGCCGCAGGAUCCGGCGUGUAUGUCCUCCAAGAGCUUGAUACCAUCGUCUUGGGGUAUGCACUUGAGCAGUACCUCGGAGCUUGCGUUUUUCCGCAUGAGUUUUCCGUCGACCAGGAUGUAGUUCUUUGACCGUCGGAUGAGACGCUCGUUCUCUGUUUUGUCCUGAAAACCUGUCCCGUCUGAGAUGUAUUUGAUGAACGGGACACGCCAGUCGCGCCCGCCGGUUGUCGGAGUGGCGUCAUCUAUGAGCAUUGCCUCGUUGGGUUGCUUGUCGACCAGGGGGGAGCUUACGCUCGGCUCAUGGAUGUCCUGGACGAAAAUACCGCGCGGGAUUUGGGCCCGGGACGAGCCUAACUUUGACAACGCAUCUGCUGCUUGGUUCUUAUCCCGGACCACGUGGAUGUACUCUAUGCCAUAGAAGUUAGUUUCCCAUUUGCGAAUUUCUUUGCAGUAGAGAUCCAUCUUCUCGUGGGUUGCGUCCCACUCCUUGUUGAGCUGGUUGAUGACCAAAGCGGAGUCCCCGUAGACAUAGAGGCGCUUAACCCCCAGCUCAACGGCUAGUCGUACGCCAUGUAAGCAAGCUUCAUAUUCGGCGACAUUGUUUGACGCCGGGAAAAGGAUCCGAAGGACGUAGCGGAGUUUGUCCUUGUUUGGUGAUACGAACAAUAUCCCAGCGCCUGCACCGUUGAUGUUCAAGGACCCAUCAAAGAACAUUGACCAGUGGUCUGAGACAUCGGGAACGGACGGUUCGUUGAGAUCCGUCCAUUCGGCAAUGAAAUCGACCAGGGCUUGGGACUUGACAGUGGUGCGACUCUGAAACUCCAGGGAAAAUGGACAUAAUUCCAUUGCCCAUUUCACGAUUCUGCCAUUGGCGUCUUUAUUGCGCAGGAUGUCACCGAGGGGAAAGCUGGUUGUCACCAGGACUCGAUGGCCGUCGAAGUAGUGCUUCAGUUUUCUUGACGUUAUCAGGAUGGCGUAUAUAAGCUUCUGUAUUUGUGGGUACCUGGCCUUGGAUUCGUUUAAAACUUCGCUUAUGAAGUAAACGGGCCUCUGGACCUUGAAGACGUGACCUGGUUCAUCUCGCUCGACCACUAUUGCCGUGGAAACAACUCUGUCGGUUGCAGCAAUGUAAAGGAGCAGGUCUUCGUUGGGCUGAGGCGCUGUGAGAACAGGCGGUGAAGUGAGGAAGGUCUUAAGCUGAGUGAACGCAGCGUCGGCGUCUUCUAUCCAGGAGAAUUUUUCUGACGCUUUCAAUAGUUUGAAAAAGGGGAGGCCUUUUUCUCCCAGCCUUGAGAUGAAACGACUGAGAGCGGCCAUGCAUCCGGUUAGCUUCUGAAUAUCCUUGACGUUCUUCGGUGGUCGCAUGUCGAGUACGGCUUUGACUUUUGAAGGGUUUGGCCGUAUGCCGUCGCAACUGACGACGUUGCCGAGCAGUAGACCGGAAGGAACGCCGAAAAUGCAUUUCUUGGGGUUGAGCUUCCACUUGUACCUAUUGAGUGCCUUGAAGGUUCGGUCUAAGUUGUCGAUUAGGGUGCUCGCAUCCCUUGUUUUUACGACCACGUCGUCCACAUAGGCCUCGACGAGGUCGUCGCGAAUCUCGUCGUGGAGGCAUUGCUGGAUGGCCCUUUGAUAAGUGGCCCCGGCGUUUUUAAGUCCGAAAGACAUGGUAGUGUAACAGUAUGCGCCGAAAGGUGUGAUGAAGGAUGUUUUGAUCUGAUCUUCUUCUUUUAACGAGAUCUGGUGAUAACCAGAGUAGCAAUCUAGAAAGGAGAGGAGUUCGCAUCCGGCCGUUGAGUCGACCACCUCGUCGAUGCGAGGAAGACCAAAAGGAUCUUUAGGACAGUGUUUGUUGAGAUCGGUGUAAUCAACGCACAUUCUCCAUUCAUUAUUCUUUUUGCGUACAAGAACCGGAUUGGCGAGCCAAUCGGGAUGAUACACCUCUUUUAUGAAUCCGGCUGCUAGAAGCCGUGUUAUUUCUGUCCUAAUAGCCUCCUUUUUGUCACGAGCGAACCGUCGCAGUUUUUGCUUGAUUGGUCUUGCGGUCUUCGAGACGUUUAAGGAGUGCUCGAUCAGGUUCCGUGGGACGCCGGGCAUGUCUGCGGGUUUCCAUGCGAAAACGCUCACGUUGUCCCUUAGAAACCUGACGAGCGCGUCUUCCUAUUUUGGAUCCAGGUUAGCCCCGAUGAGGGCUGUCUUCUCGGGGUUGCCCUCGACCAGCUGCACUUCUUUGUACUCCUUGGAUUUCGAAUUCUUUCUGGCUGUCUCCUGCUCAGGUAAUCGGAGCUGGUCGGGGGGCAGCUGUGCGGCUUGGUUUGCUGUUUCCGCCAUGCGGAUUGAGAGGUCAAUUGCCUCGGUGAUCUUGAAACUUUCUUCUUCGCAGGUGUACGCAGUGUAGACGUUGCCUCUGACGGUCAGGACACCCUUCUCCGUGGGCAUCUUAAGCACUAGGUACGAGUAGUGCGGGACUGCCAUGAACUUUGUCAGCGAUGGGCGGCCCAGUAUGGCGUGGUAGGUCCCGUCGAAGUCCGCGACUACGAAGUUGAUGAACUCCGUCCGGAAGUGAUCGGGUGUGCCGAAUUGGACAGGCAAUGUUAUCUGUCCGAGGGGCACCGAACUUUGACCUGGCAAAACCCCCCAGAAUUGGGCGUCGUAAGGUUUUAGUUGGGCCGGUGAUAUCUUGAGGGCGGGCAGGCUGUUGCGGAAGAGGAUGUCAAUGGAGCUUCCCCCGUCCACGAGCACGCGCUCGAAUCUGAUGCUGUUGAUGCAAGGAUCGAGAAUUAGUGGGAAACGACCCGGCUCCGGGAUAGCGGCCCACUGGUCCUUCCUGCUGAACGCGAUCUCCCUAUGGGACCAGGCGGGAAAUUUCAGAUCUGCGAUCAGCCCGUCCGUGCUGUCUAUGUUGAGGCAGGCUCUCUUCAACAGCUUUCUUUCUCGCUUGGACUCAGUGGAGACCUUGCCCCCGAAAAUGGAGUGGACCACGUCGGUGGGGCUGACGUAUUGGUGUCGGGGGUCCCUGUCUUGGUCCUCGUCCUCAUCUUCGUGGUCGUGCCCGUCGCGUUUGUUACUUUUCUUGGCGGUGUCUUCUUGGGCGGCCCGCCGUGUAUAGAUAUUUUUGAGGACGCGGCACUCUUCCAUGGUAUGGUUAGACUUUGGAUGUAGCUGGCACGGUCCCUUCAACGUUUUGUUGUAGUCGUCUUGGUAGUCCCGUCGUCCAUUGGGACGUUUGACCGUGUUUACUUCGUGGUCGUAUUCGCGAGGGCGCUUUCCUCUGAAGUCGUCGCGGCUGUCGCGCCGCCGAUCCCAACCCUCUCGGUGAUCGCGGUUGUCGGAGCGACGGUGAUUUCUGUUGUCGUAGCGGCCGCGACCGUCGUCUCGCCGGGAGGGCUGGUCGGUGCCUCUCGCAUCGUCUCGGAUUAGUUUUUCUGCGUCAUCAGCAUCGGCAUAAUUUUUAGCCGUGGCGAGGAGCUCUGCUACUGUUGAUGGACGUUUACGCAACAGCUUGUUCCUCAGCGCUUCAUGGAAACGUAAGCCCUUGAUAAAGGCUGAUAUGGCCUCGUCAUGAGAAAUCUUCGGGAUUUUGAGACGCAUAUCCGAGAAUCGUCGGAUGUAAUCACGCAGAGGUUCAUUCUUCCUGUCUCUUAUCCUUUCAAGGUCAUACUUGUUUCCGGGCUGUUCGCAUGUGGCGAUGAAGUUGUCAAUGAAAGCCUGUCGUAGUUCUUCCCAAGAGUCGAAGGAGUCCUCGGGCAAGCCGAGAAGCCACUGAUGACCAGCCUGGUCGAGGACUACGGGGAAGUAGUUAGCCAUGACGUGCUCAUCUCCUGCCGCUGAUCGGACGGCGAUUUCGUAGAGGGUGAUCCAGUUCUCUGGAUUUUCCUUGCCGUCGUAUUUUUUAAGUUUUUCGAGCUUGAAAUUUCUGGGCCACACGACCUGGCGGAGGUGUGAGGAGAACUGCCUUAGGCCCGGGGGACCAUGGGUCGCAUCGUACUCGAUGCGGCGUAGGUUUUCGUGGACUGCUCUCUCUGCGGCGCGCCUGUUGAUGCGGUCCCGGGCAUCUUUGGGAGGGAUGUUGUGGCGGAGAUCCCUGUGUUGAUCUUCUUCUUCCUGGCCGCGUACGCGGUUCUGCUGGCGGCGGCCAUCGGCGUCUCGACCACCAUCGUCGCGCCGUGAGUCCCCUCGACGGUUGUCGGGGGAGCGCCUGCGGCGACGCCUGCUGGGCGAGGCCCGGCUACGAUGAGUCUGGUCGGAGGCGGCUUCCGUAUAAGGGACGUCCUGGACUCUCUUAAGCAGAGUUGCUGUCUGUCCCAUCGCGGCGAUCAGGUGUGCUCGGAUACUGGUCCGGACCCCCUGGCAUUCUGGUGUGUCAGGAAGCCGAUCCAGGUUGGCCAUGGCAACAGCCACGUUGGCGCUUGGCGUUUUGUAGACCGGCUGGUCCCCGACCAUGUCAAAGGCAUCGUUGAGGUUACCCGGUGGCGUCUGUUGUUGCUCGUCCGCACGCCGUCGGGCGCGAUCGGCGUUACGCUGUUCGCGGAGUUGCCUCUGGUCGUCUGUUUCUCCGUCAACAACCGGUUCGUCGGCGCUGACAUUGAAUACAAUAUCCCCUCGCCGGGGGGGGGGAAUAUCGGGAACCGGUCGAAACCCGGAGGGUGUGAAGGGAAAUCCAGGUCGUAGCCCUCGUCUUCGGUGUUUAUAACCUCGGUGGGGACGGAGCCGGUGCUUGAGUUGGUGCUGGAAACCUGGCCGUUCCGUAGCUCUCGGAUUGUCACCAUGUUGACAUGGUGACGAUUGUUCCUUGUCGGCGACCAGCCCGCUUUGCUGAAAACGGAUUGAACAUGCUGUGAGUAGACAGAGGCCGAGUUAUUCAGGCCGCAAGGAUGGUCUCCCUUUUUGAGCUCGACGGAUCGGCCUGAGGAGGUUGAGGUUAUCGCCAGGGACGUUCCCAGCCGUUCGUGUGUGGUGACACGAGUUGGCCGGCGGGAUUUCGAAAAAUCCGCUUGAGUGGCUUGGUCGGGCCGGCGCAGAAUUCCAUCUAUUAGUUGGGAGACUUCGAGCAGCUUGGAGUCGGCGCGAUCGAGCGCUUGGAGGAGGUCCGAGCAGUCGAUCUCCUUUCCCUUGUAGAGUGGGAACGGUGGCCGGGAGUUUGGUGCCGUCAUGCGUGUGGUCGGAGACGGCGUGAUCUCAGAUUGGAUCUGGAUCUCUUUCGGGACCGUGGUCGGGAAGCCGCCGCUGCACGUCGUCCACGUGAUCUGGCCGACGGUAAACGUGAGGCCUUCGGGCACGGUCGCGGAAGCUGGGAUCGUGACCAUCUUGUUCGCCGGAAAAGUUGCACGCACACCCCCUACCUGGCGCGCCACUGUCGACGAAAGCUGGUCGGCAGUCUACCUUGGGGUAUACCCACGGUAGUAGUUUAUCGGUAGACGGUGCGCAAACUACGAACUCGAUGGUGACGCAAGACACGGACAAGCUUUUUAUCCAGGUUCGGCCGCCGAGUUGGCGUAAUACCUACGUCCUGCGUCUGGUUGUAUUGGAUUGUGUUUAGAGAUAAUCUACCCUAGGGGGUCCCCUUGCCCCUCCUUAUAUAGUCUGGAGGGCAGGGUUACAGAUCUAGAAACUAAUCCUAGCCGGUUACAAUUGCCAUAGAUAAUUCGAUAUCAAUUCCUAUUCUAACCGACUAGAAUCCUGCUUGAUCUCCACGUCCUGUUUCCUUGCGCGAAACUCGGGCUAUCGGAUCAAGCCUUGAACUCGUCUCGUAGUGGGCCAAGCUUCCUAGCUGAAGUCUAGCCGUAAGGGUAUAGGGGUUUAUACCCCCACACCGUGCGUUCUCCUCCCCUUUAUGCCCGCGCCUCCGUGUACGGCCCGCCCAUAGCUCCUUCGACGGCGCCGCCUAGGAACGCGGAGAAAAUAUGACAAAGGAACGGCCAAAAAUAAAAAGAAAGACCUUUCUUUUGAAAAAACAAACAAAUAAAAGGAAUGCAACACGAGGACUUCCCAGGAGGUCACCCAUCCUAGUACUACUCUCGCCCAAGCACGCUUAACUUCGGAGUUCUGAUGGGAUCCGGUGCUUUAGUGCUGGUAUGAUCGCAUCCGACAUACCGUGCGUUCUCCUCCCCUUUAUGCCCGCGCCUCCGUGUACGGCCCGCCCAUAGCUCCUUCGACGGCGCCGCCUAGGAACGCGGAGAAAAUAUGACAAAGGAACGGCCAAAAAUAAAAAGAAAGACCUUUCUUUUGAAAAAACAAACAAAAAAAAGGAAUGCAACACGAGGACUUCCCAGGAGGUCACCCAUCCUAGUACUACUCUCGCCCAAGCACGCUUAACUUCGGAGUUCUGAUGGGAUCCGGUGCUUUAGUGCUGGUAUGAUCGCAUCCGACAUACCGUGCGUUCUCCUCCCCUUUAUGCCCGCGCCUCCGUGUACGGCCCGCCCAUAGCUCUUUCGACGGCGCCGCCUAGGAACGCGGAGAAAAUAUGACAAAGGAACGGCCAAAAAUAAAAGAAAGACCUUUCUUUUGAAAAAACAAACGCCUCCGUGUACGGCCCGCCCAUAGCUCCUCCGACGGCCCCGCCUAGGAACGCGAAGAAAAUAUGACAAAGGAACGCCCAAAAAUAAAAAGAAAGACCUUUCUUUUGAAAAAACAAACAUUAAAAAGGAAUGCAACACGAGGACUUCCCAGGAGGUCACCAAUCCUAGUACUACUCUCGCCCAAGCACGCUUAACUUCGAAGUUCUGAUGGGAUCCGGUGCUUUAGUGCUGGUAUGAUCGCAUCCGACAUACCGUGCGUUCUCCUCCCCUUUAUGCCCGCGCCUCCGUGUACGGCCCGCCCAUAGCUCCUUCGACGGCGCCGCCUAGGAACGCGGAGAAAAUAUGACAAAGGAACGGCCAAAAAUAAAAAGAAAGACCUUUCUUUUGAAAAAACAAACAAAAAAAAGGAAUGCAACACGAGGACUUCCCAGGAGGUCACCCAUCCUAGUACUACUCUCGCCCAAGCACGCUUAACUUCGGAGUUCUGAUGGGAUCCGGUGCUUUAGUGCUGGUAUGAUCGCAUCCGACAUACCGUGCGUUCUCCUCCCCUUUAUGCCCGCGCCUCCGUGUACGGCCCGCCCAUAGCUCCUUCGACGGCGCCGCCUAGGAACGCGGAGAAAAUAUGACAAAGGAACGGCCAAAAAUAAAAAGAAAGACCUUUCUUUUGAAAAAACAAACAAAAAAAAGGAAUGCAACACGAGGACUUCCCAGGAGGUCACCCAUCCUAGUACUACUCUCGCCCAAGCACGCUUAACUUCGGAGUUCUGAUGGGAUCCGGUGCUUUAGUGCUGGUAUGAUCGCAUCCGACAUACCGUGCGUUCUCCUCCCCUUUAUGCCCGCGCCUCCGUGUACGGCCCGCCCAUAGCUCCUUCGACGGCGCCGCCUAGGAACGCGGAGAAAAUAUGACAAAGGAACGGCCAAAAAUAAAAAGAAAGACCUUUCUUUUGAAAAAAAAAACAAAAAAAAGGAAUGCAACACGAGGACUUCCCAGGAGGUCACCCAUCCUAGUACUACUCUCGCCCAAGCACGCUUAACUUCGGAGUUCUGAUGGGAUCCGGUGCUUUAUUGCUGGUAUGAUCGCAUCCGACAUACCGUGCGUUCUCCUCCCCUUUAUGCCCGCACCUCCGUGUACGGCCCGCCCAUAGCUCCUUCGACGGCGCCGCCUAGGAACGCGGAGAAAAUAUGACAAAGGAACGGCCAAAAAUAAAAAGAAAGACCUUUCUUUUGAAAAAACAAACAAAAAAAAGGAAUGCAACACGAGGACUUCCCAGGAGGUCACCCAUCCUAGUACUACUCUCGCCCAAGCACGCUUAACUUCGGAGUUCUGAUGGGAUCCGGUGCUUUAGUGCUGGUAUGAUCGCAUCCGACAUACCGUGCGUUCUCCUCCCCUUUAUGCCCGCGCCUCCGUGUACGGCCCGCCCAUAGCUCCUUCGACGGCGCCGCCUAGGAACGCGGAGAAAAUAUGACAAAGGAACGGCCAAAAAUAAAAAGAAAGACCUUUCUUUUGAAAAAACAAACAAAUAAAAGGAAUGCAACACGAGGACUUCCCAGGAGGUCACCCAUCCUAGUACUACUCUCGCCCAAGCACGCUUAACUUCGAAGUUCUGAUGGGAUCCGGUGCUUUAGUGCUGGUAUGAUCGUAUCCGACAUACCGUGCGUUCUCCUCCCCUGAAUGCCCGCGCCUCCGUGUACGGCCCGCCCAGAGCUCUUUAGAUGGGACUUCCGAUGGAAUCGGAGACAAUAGGACAAAGGAACGGCCAAAAAUAAAAAGAAAGACCUUUCUUCCGAAAAAACAAACGCCUCCGUGUACGGCCCGCCCAUAGCUCCUUCGACGGCGCCGCCUAGGAACGCGGAGAAAAUAUGACAAAGGAACGGCCAAAAAUAAAAAGAAAGACCUUUCUUUUGAAAAAACAAACAAAAAAAAGGAAUGCAACACGAGGACUUCCCAGGAGGUCACCCAUCCUAGUACUACUCUCGCCCAAGCACGCUUAACUUCGGAGUUCUGAUGGGAUCCGGUGCUUUAGUGCUGGUAUGAUCGCAUCCGACAUACCGUGCGUUCUCCUCCCCUUUAUGCCCGCGCCUCCGUGUACGGCCCGCCCAUAGCUCCUUCGACGGCGCCGCCUAGGAACGCGGAGAAAAUAUGACAAAGGAACGGCCAAAAAUAAAAAGAAAGACCUUUCUUUUGAAAAAACAAACGCCUCCGUGUACGGCCCGCCCAUAGCUCCUUCGACGGCGCCGCCUAGGAACGCGGAGAAAAUAUGACAAAGGAACGGCCAAAAAUAAAAAGAAAGACCUUUCUUUUGAAAAAACAAACAAAAAAAAGGAAUGCAACACGAGGACUUCCCAGGAGGUCACCCAUCCUAGUACUACUCUCGCCCAAGCACGCUUAACUUCGGAGUUCUGAUGGGAUCCGGUGCUUUAGUGCUGGUAUGAUCGCAUCCGACAUACCGUGCGUUCUCCUCCCCUUUAUGCCCGCGCCUCCGUGUACGGCCCGCCCAUAGCUCCUUCGACGGCGCCGCCUAGGAACGCGGAGAAAAUAUGACAAAGGAACGGCCAAAAAUAAAAAGAAAGACCUUUCUUUUGAAAAAACAAACAAAAAAAAGGAAUGCAACACGAGGACUUCCCAGGAGGUCACCCAUCCUAGUACUACUCUCGCCCAAGCACGCUUAACUUCGGAGUUCUGAUGGGAUCCGGUGCUUUAGUGCUGGUAUGAUCGCAUCCGACAUACCGUGCGUUCUCCUCCCCUUUAUGCCCGCGCCUCCGUGUACGGCCCGCCCAUAGCUCCUUCGACGGCGCCGCCUAGGAACGCGGAGAAAAUAUGACAAAGGAACGGCCAAAAAUAAAAAGAAAGACCUUUCUUUUGAAAAAACAAACAAAUAAAAGGAAUGCAACACGAGGACUUCCCAGGAGGUCACCCAUCCUAGUACUACUCUCGCCCAAGCACGCUUAACUUCGGAGUUCUGAUGGGAUCCGGUGCUUUAGUGCUGGUAUGAUCGCAUCCGACAUACCGUGCGUUCUCCUCCCCUUUAUGCCCGCGCCUCCGUGUACGGCCCGCCCAUAGCUCCUUCGACGGCGCCGCCUAGGAACGCGGAGAAAAUAUGACAAAGGAACGGCCAAAAAUAAAAAGAAAGACCUUUCUUUUGAAAAAACAAACAAAUAAAAGGAAUGCAACACGAGGACUUCCCAGGAGGUCACCCAUCCUAGUACUACUCUCGCCCAAGCACGCUUAACUUCGGAGCUCUGAUGGGAUCCGGUGCUUUAGUGCUGGUAUGAUCGCAUCCGACAUACCGUGCGUUCUCCUCCCCUUUAUGCCCGCGCCUCCGUGUACGGCCCGCCCAUAGCUCCUUCGACGGCGCCGCCUAGGAACGCGGAGAAAAUAUGACAAAGGAACGGCCAAAAAUAAAAAGAAAGACCUUUCUUUUGAAAAAACAAACAAAAAAAAGGAAUGCAACACGAGGACUUCCCAGGAGGUCACCCAUCCUAGUACUACUCUCGCCCAAGCACGCUUAACUUCGGAGUUCUGAUGGGAUCCGGUGCUUUAGUGCUGGUAUGAUCGCAUCCGACAUACCGUGCGUUCUCCUCCCCUUUAUGCCCGCGCCUCCGUGUACGGCCCGCCCAUAGCUCCUUCGACGGCGCCGCCUAGGAACGCGGAGAAAAUAUGACAAAGGAACGGCCAAAAAUAAAAAGAAAGACCUUUCUUUUGAAAAAACAAACAAAAAAAAGGAAUGCAACACGAGGACUUCCCAGGAGGUCACCCAUCCUAGUACUACUCUCGCCCAAGCACGCUUAACUUCGGAGUUCUGAUGGGAUCCGGUGCUUUAGUGCUGGUAUGAUCACAUCCGACAUACCGUGCGUUCUCCUCCCCUUUAUGCCCGCGCCUCCGUGUACGGCCCGCCCAUAGCUCCUUCGACGGCGCCGCCUAGGAACGCGGAGAAAAUAUGACAAAGGAACGGCCAAAAAUAAAAAGAAAGACCUUUCUUUUGAAAAAACAAACAAAAAAAAGGAAUGCAACACGAGGACUUCCCAGGAGGUCACCCAUUCUAGUACUACUCUCGCCCAAGCAAGCUUAACUUCGGAGUUCUGAUGGGAUCCGGUGCUUUAGUGCUGGUAUGAUCGCAUCCGACAUACCGUGCGUUCUCCUCCCCUUUAUGCCCGCGCCUCCGUGUACGGCCCGCCCAUAGCUCCUUCGACGGCGCCGCCUAGGAACGCGGAGAAAAUAUGACAAAGGAACGGCCAAAAAUAAAAAGAAAGACCUUUCUUUUGAAAAAACAAACAAAAAAAAGGAAUGCAACACGAGGACUUCCCAAAAUAUGACAAAGGAACGGCCAAAAAUAAAAAGAAAGACCUUUCUUUUGAAAAAACAAACAAAAAAAAGGAAUGCAACACGAGGACUUCCCAGGAGGUCACCCAUUCUAGUACUACUCUCGCCCAAGCAAGCUUAACUUCGGAGUUCUGAUGGGAUCCGGUGCUUUAGUGCUCGUAUGAUCGCAUCCGACAUACCGUGCGUUCUCCUCCCCUUUAUGCCCGCGCCUCCGUGUACGGCCCGCCCAUAGCUCCUUCGACGGCGCCGCCUAUGAACGCGGAGAAAAUAUGACAAAGGAACGGCCAAAAAUAAAAAGAAAGACCUUUCUUUUGAAAAAACAAACAAAAAAAAGGAAUGCAACACGAGGACUUCCCAGGAGGUCACCCAUCCUAGUACUACUCUCGCCCAAGCACGCUUAACUUCGGAGUUCUGAUGGGAUCCGGUGCUUUAGUGCUGGUAUGAUCGCAUCCGACAUACCGUGCGUUCUCCUCCCCUUUAUGCCCGCGCCUCCGUGUACGGCCCGCCCAUAGCUCCUUCGACGGCGCCGCCUAGGAACGCGGAGAAAAUAUGACAAAGGAACGGCCAAAAAUAAAAAGAAAGACCUUUCUUUUGAAAAAACAAACAAAAAAAAGGAAUGCAACACGAGGACUUCCCAGGAGGUCACCCAUCCUAGUACUACUCUCGCCCAAGCACGCUUAACUUCGGAGUUCUGAUGGGAUCCGGUGCUUUAGUGCUGGUAUGAUCGCAUCCGACAUACCGUGCGUUCUCCUCCCCUUUAUGCCCGCGCCUCCGUGUACGGCCCGCCCAUAGCUCCUUCGACGGCGCCGCCUAGGAACGCGGAGAAAAUAUGACAAAGGAACGGCCAAAAAUAACAAGAAAGACCUUUCUUUUGAAAAAACAAACAAAAAAAAGGAAUGCAACACGAGGACUUCCCAGGAGGUCACCAAUCCUAGUACUACUCUCGCCCAAGCACGCUUAACUUCGGAGUUCUGAUGGGAUCCGGUGCUUUAGUGCUGGUAUGAUCGCAUCCGACAUACCGUGCGUUCUCCUCCCCUUUAUGCCCGCGCCUC
rnacentral:lncRNA from 1 species